GUUAAAGAAACAUAUCAAGGGAAUAAUUUGGGACAAAAUCCAGAGCAAUAGAAUUCUCUGCUACAAUCUAGGCAGCAGUGCCUGGAUGUUUAAGUGUGUGUGUGUUAUAUUAUUUGUAUGUGCGUGUGUAUAUAGGGGGCGGGUGUCUUGUGUAUGUUGUAUGUAUGUGUGUCUGUGUGUAGGCCAGAGACUGACUUCCCUAAUCUGCACUCCAGAAUAGGGCUUCUGCUGCUAUUAUAGAUGGUAAUUGAACUCAGGACCUCUGGAAGAGUAGAUGGUGCUCUUAACUGCUGAACCACCUCCCCAGCCCCUUCACUUUGAUUUUUCAGGCAGGGUCUCUCCCUGAGCAUAGAGCUCCAAUUUGGCUAGGCUGGCUGGCCAGCACCCCCUGGGGGUCCUCCUGUCUCUGCCUCCCCAGCAUCGGAUUACAGGUACACACUAGCUAUCACAGGCACACACUAGCUAUCACAGGCACACACUACAUCUUCACAGGCCCACACUAGCUAUCACAGGCACACACUAGCUAUCACAGGCACACACUAGCUAUCACAGGCACACACUACAUCUAUCACAGGCACACACUAGCUAUCACAGGCACACACUAGCUAUCACAGGCCCACACUAGCUAUCACAGGCACACACUAGCUAUCACAGGCACACACUAACUGUCACAGGCCCACACUAGCUGUCACAGGCACACACUAGCUAUCACAGGCCCACACUAGCUAUCACAGGCACACACUAGCUAUCACAGGCACACACUAGCUAUCACAGGCACACACUACAUCUAUCACAGGCACACACUAGCUAUCACAGGCACACUCUAGCUAUCACAGGCCCACACUAACUGUCACAGGCACACACUAGCUAUCACAGGCACACACUAGCUAUCACAGGCACACACUACAUCUUCACAGGCCCACACUAGCUAUCACAGGCACACACUAGCUAUCACAGGCACACACUAGCUAUCACAGGCACAUACUAACUGUCACAGGCCCACACUAGCUGUCACAGGCACACACUAGCUAUCACAGGCCCACACUAGCUAUCACAGGCACACACUAGCUAUCACAGGCACACACUAGCUAUCACAGGCAUACACUAACUGUCACAGGCCCACACUAGCUGUCACAGGCCCACACUAGCUAUCACAGGCCCACACUAACUGUCACAGGCCCACACUAGCUGUCACAGGCACACACUAGCUAUCACAGGCCCACACUAGCUAUCACAUGCACACACUAGCUAUCACAGGCACACACUACAUCUAUCACAGGCCCACACUAGCUAUCACAGGCCCACACUAGCUAUCACAGGCACACACUAGCUAUCACAGGUCCACAUUAGCUAUCACAGGCACACACUAGCUAUCAAUCACAGGCACAGGCCUUUUACAGAUGCUGAAGAUCUGAACUCAGACCCCCAGGCUUGUGCUGCAGGUACUUUUGCUAGGCUUAAGCUUGCUAAGUAGCUCAGGCUGGUUUUGAACUCCGGACUUCAACCUCUUUCAUGCUGGAAUUAUAGGAAUGUAGCAGUCCUUACGGCUUCACUUGGCCCUGUGACGCAGCUGAUUCAACACCACUUAAGUGGAGUCACUGGAUACAGCUUAGGCAAGCUCUACUGAGAACGACGCAGCCCACGCCUCCAGGGCUAGAGGACAAGUGUGUGGCGUGUUUGCAGAUGGCCAUCAAUUCGUGGCUGUGGGUCUUCAUCAGGCAGCCGGUGGGUCCUGCAUGCAUGGCCUCUCACUCACUGACAGCAGCAGUCUGUCACCCUGUGGAGAUGGCACAUGAGAGAUCUGCACUGGCAGGUGCAGAAGGCCCAGGUAAGCCGUGUGAGCAGGUGGCCUAGAUGCCUUCCAUGGCGGCUCUUGCUUCACUGACUCUUCCUGGGACCUCCGAGGUUGCUCCUUGGGAUCAAUUGGCUGAGAAGGAAUGAAUUCAAGCCUGGCUUACAGAUGGCACUGCAGGAUAUGCUGGCACCAACAGAAAGUGGGCAGCUGAAGCCCUCAGCCCACUCCAGGAGGACCUGCAUAACUUGGGUAACAGAAUGUCUUGCAGUGGGCAGAGCAUCAAGAGGCGCGCGUGUAUUUGUGUACUUGGCCUCAACUGAGAGACGGACGGAGGCAGGGAUCUACAAUGACUCGGCUGGCCAGUGAGGGAGGAAAACCACUGCUGUCAGGUGACCACCAGGCCUCAGGACAGAGGAUGUGUGUGACCGGAGCGCUCCAGAUAGGCACAGAAUGGGAAGAAGGAAAUUGUGUCACAGGUGUUUAUGAGUCAGCACUGAAAAAAUAAAAUAAAAUAAAAUAAAUGCCCGAGACAAUUAGGUUCAAAAGAAGAAAGGUAGGGGGAUCGAUGGCUCAGAGGUUAAGAGCACUGACUGCUUCUUGAGAGGUUCUGAGUUCAACUCCCAGCAACCAUGUGGUGGGUCGAACCCAUCUAUACUGGGGUCUGAUGCCCAAUUCUGGCAUGCAGGAAUACAUGCAAACAGAGCACUAUAUAGA
rnacentral:lncRNA from 1 species